AAUAUACUCCCUCCGUCUCAAAAUUCUUGUCUUAAAUUUUUUUAGAUACGGAUGUAUCAAAUCACAUUUUAGUAUUAGAUACAUUUAUAUCUAGACAAAUGUAAAACAAGAAUUUUGGAAUAGAGGGUGUAUAUC
rfam:Triticum aestivum genome assembly, contig: Triticum_aestivum_CS42_TGACv1_scaffold_485945_6AS